rnacentral:rRNA from 1 species
UACGAGGGGGGCAAAUGUUGUUCGGAAUCACUGGGCGUAAAGGGAGCGUAGGCGGGCGCUUAAGUUAGGUGUUUAAUCCCGGGGCCCAACCCCGGACAGGCACCUAAAACUGGGCGUCUUGAAUAGUGGAGAGGUCGGUGGAAUUGGGGGUGUAGCGGUGGAAUGCGUAGAGAUCCCCAAGAACACCAGUUGCGAAGGCGGCCGACUGGACACAUAUUGACGCUGAGGCUCGAAAGCAUGGGGAGCAACAGGG